CCACCUGGUAGCUGUUGUUGUAUAUGUAUCCCUCUCUGGUCCUCUUUUUUUCCUUCUUUUCAAAAAGUAGUUUCAGGCUCCUAGCUAGUACUAGUAGUGGGAUGAGAAGUCGAACUCGUAGAUCGAUGACAUGACAUGGAGUGGAGGCUCGAUGCAUCUAGUAGGAGAGGAGUGAGCUCGAGCUUCUUUCUUGUUUUGUCUGAGGGGAGUUGAGUAUGCCCACUGUGUGUGUACUAGACCAUUCCUCGAUGAUGCCUAGAUGGCAUUCCAUUCCUUCUACACUAGCUAGUAGUGUUGCAGGCAGCAGCAACUCCAACAGUGAGUGGAGCUAGUAUUGUUUUGCCAUCUCAUCUCAUGGCCACUUUUACCUACCUCUCCAUGCUUGGACUGGAGCAUCCUGCUCGCCGAGGGGCUGCUCAUGGAGUGCCGGAGCUGCUCGGCCGCGCUGGGGUCUGCUCACCCUUUUUCCGGCCCAAAUCGCACCCGGCGGGCGGCCAGGCUCCAUCUUGCGAAUCACGUCACCGCCGGCCGGAUCCAAAACCUCGACAGCGCCGAGGGUUUCUCCCCCUACUCCGCUCUCUCGACAGCGCCGACGGUUUCUCCCCUACUCCGCCCUCUCGACAGCGCCUCCUCACCCGCCCGCCCUUAGCAGUUGGAGUUGGAGCUGCCCGCCCUUAGCAGUACGAACUAUCAGAUGGUCAGUAACAAUUAUUUUAAUUAUCUUAAUCGGCAAGACUUAACAAUUGCAUUUUGCUUUGACACCAACACACAUGCAUAGAUGGAUACUCCAUAAGCAAUUCUCUGAUCAUUAAUUCCUUUUCGAUCUUUCAAAUACAGUAAGUAGUAGGAGUACUAGCUUAGCUUCAAUUAGCUAGCUAGCUAGGGGAUAGCACCGAAAUAUUGUACUCACUAGGGGAACCUCAGGUGAUGAUAUGCUCUGGGGUGACUUUUGCAGAGGUCAUUUGUGUGUUCAUGGUUGGGCUGUCAAAUUAUGCCCAUCUUGGAUGAUUCAAUUUUGAAAUUUUUGGUCCUGUCAAUUAUUUUUCUUUAUAUUAACUGAUGUCCUAGGGCCUAUGGAAGAAUAAGAGGAAGGGGAGAUGAGAGGACAAAGAAACAACGUGAAGCUUCUUUGCCGUAGAUAUGAAAGACUAUUUUCUUCUAAACUUUUCCCUCUCUGACUAGUAUGCAUGUUUUCUAUUUCUACAGACUAUAUGCUUCAAUUUGAUUGGUUUUAUCAGGAAGUGAAGAGCCACAGUUGGUAUAUUUGCGCAUUUCAGAUGGAUUGGCUAAUGAAUCACCCUUCCCUGUUCAGUUUCAUUGUAGUAUUUGUAGCAUCACAAUGGCUGAUGUUUGGGAGCAGCGAGCCUGCUUGGAUUUGCUGGUGCUGAAGGGAUUCAAGAUAUGGAGCCAAACACAACAUAUUUGAUUUGGGGUUUUGAAAAAAUAUAUAUUUUGGCAGGUCGCUGAUGGUUGUUACCUCUCUUGGCAGAAGUUGCAGGUCGCUGAUGGAUACGACUUUUGACAAAAAUGUUGGUUCUGGUUCUAGGUUCUCACCCAUGAUGUUGGUGCCCUGUGGGACGUCAAUUAUGUUCUUAGUCAAUCUCAGAUCUGACAUGUAUUUCGUCUUUGUGGACAUAUUCUACUGCGUGAAUGGAAAGAAAAUAAAAAACUCUUCACAUUACAGGGAUCUACAGUAGGUAUAUGGUAUGUCAAUCCUGCCCUUGCUGAAACUCCUGGGUUGCAGGACGAGUAUGUUACAUCUGCAGACUGCAGGUCUGCUUGC